GGGCACUCUAGCGAGACUGCCGGUAAUAAACCGGAGGAAGGUGGGGAUGACGUCAAGUCAUCAUGGCCCUUACGGCCUGGGCUACACACGUGCUACAAUGGUCGGUAUAAAGGGUUGCCAAGCCGCGAGGUGGAGCUAAUCCCAUAAAACCGAUCGUAGUCCGGAUCGCAGUCUGCAACUCGACUGCGUGAAGUCGGAAUCGCUAGUAAUCGUGAAUCAGAAUGUCACGGUGAAUACGUUCCCGGGCCUU
rnacentral:rRNA from 1 species